rnacentral:rRNA from 1 species
UACGUAGGGUGCGAGCGUUGUCCGGAAUUAUUGGGCGUAAAGAGCUUGUAGGCGGUCUGUCGCGUCUGCUGUGAAAAUCCGGGGCUCAACCCCGGACUUGCAGUGGGGUACGGGCAGACUAGAGUGUGGUAGGGGAGACUGGAAUUCCUGGUGUAGCGGUGAAAUGCGCAGAUAUCAGGGAGGGAACACCCGGGUGGGCGA